rnacentral:sRNA from 1 species
GCGUCAGAGUUGCGAUAGCGCUCUGGGCGACCCUAGUGGUCAGCCAGCUCAACCCGCCUAGGCAAAUACAUUACGAGGUUCAUCGUAGGCGAGUAACAAUAGCGAAAGCCGAGCGUGAC